GGCCGACUAGCUCAGCUGGUUAGAGCGUCGUGCUAAUACGAUUCGUUGAUAAAUGCGUGUUCACUAUUACUCACUUGUUUAUCGACGGAUUUGAUACGCGAAGGUCUUGGGUUCGAUCCCCACGUUGGCCA